UACGUAGGCAGCGAGCGUUGUUCGGAAUUACUGGGCGUAAAGCGCGUGUAGGCGGUUGUCCAAGUUGGAUGUGAAAGCCUUGAGCUUAACUCAAGAAAUGCAUUCAGGACUGGAUGACUAGAGGACCGGAGAGGAUAGUGGAAUUCCCAGUGUAGUGGUGAAAUACGUAGAGAUUGGGAAGAACACCAGUGGCGAAGGCGGCUAUCUGGACGGUUUCUGACGCUAAGACGCGAAAGCGUGGGGAGCAAACAGG
rnacentral:rRNA from 1 species